UUUGAAACAGGGACGCCAGUUCCUGUGGAGCCUCCCUUGAGAUACCACCCUUGUUCUGCUUGAUGUCUAACCGCGGUCCGUUAUCCGGAUCCGGGACCCUGCGUGGCGGGUAGUUUGACUGGGGCGGUCGCCUCCUAAAGAGUAACGGAGGCGCGCGAAGGUUGGCUCAGAGCGGUCGGAAAUCGCUCGUUGAGUGCAAUGGCAGAAGCCAGCCUGACUGCGAGACUGACAAGUCGAGCAGAGACGAAAGUCGGCCAUAGUGAUCCGGUGGUCCCGAGUGGAAGGGCCAUCGCUCAACGGAUAAAAGGUACGCCGGGGAUAACAGGCUGAUACUGCCCAAGAGUCCAUAUCGACGGCAGUGUUUGGCACCUCGAUGUCGGCUCAUCUCAUCCUGGGGCUGUAGCCGGUCCCAAGGGUAUGGCUGUUCGCCAUUUAAAGAG
rnacentral:rRNA from 14 species